GCUUUGCCCCUUGCAAGACAGGCGCGUUUGGCUUGGUAAGAGCCGUCUGAGUCUACGUUUUGCUUCUGGAGCUGGGCACCAGCAUUAUUUUCUAUGUCGUUGGCCAAGUGUUCAAGCCGACAUACUCAAGAUGCCAUGCUCACAGCUUUUUCCGGGCUCCUCUAUGUCAAGAGAUCAAGGAGCGCCUGGGUCCAGAUGCCUACUCUGACUCCAC
rnacentral:lncRNA from 1 species